rnacentral:rRNA from 1 species
AGUUUGAUCCUGGCUCAGGAUGAACGCUGGCGGCGUGCCUAACACAUGCAAGUCGAGCGGAGAUAUAUGUCUAAGAGACUUCGGUCAAAUUAAUUAUAUCUUAGCGGCGGAUGGGUGAGGAACGCGUGGAGAACCUGCCCUUCACAGGGGGAUAACAGCUGGAAACGGCUGUUAAUACCGCAUAUGCUCACAGCACCGCAUGGUGCAGGGAGGAAAGCCGAGACGGUGAAGGAUGGCUCCGCGUCGGAUUAGCCGGUUGGCGGGGUAACGGCCCACCAAAGCGAUGAUCCGUAGCCGGCCUGAAAGGGCGACCGGCCACAUUGGGACUGAGACACGGCCCAAACUCCUACGGGAGGCAGCAGUGGGGGAUAUUGCACAAUGGGGGAAACCCUGAUGCAGCGACGCCGCGUGAAGGAAGACGUGCUCCGGCAUGUAAACUUCUAUCAGCAGGGAAGAAGAUGACGGUACCUGACUAAGAAGCCCCGGCUAACUACGUGCCAGCAGCCGCGGUAAUACGUAGGGGGCAAGCGUUAUCCGGAUUUACUGGGUGUAAAGGGAGCGUAGACGGCAAUGCAAGUCUGAUGUGAAAACCCGGGGCUCAACCGCGGGA